rnacentral:rRNA from 1 species
UACGAAGGGGGCUAGCGUUGCUCGGAAUCACUGGGCGUAAAGCGCACGUAGGCGGCUUUUUAAGUCAGGGGUGGAAUCCUGGAGCUCAACUCCAGAACUGCCUUUGAUACUGAGAGGCUUGAGUCCGGGAGAGGUGAGUGGAACUGCGAGUGUAGAGGUGAAAUUCGUAGAUAUUCGCAAGAACACCAGUGGCGAAGGCGGCUCACUGGCCCGGUACUGACGCUGAGGUGCGAAAGCGUGGGGAGCAAACAGG